AUUGAACGCUGGCGGCAGGCCUAACACAUGCAAGUCGAGCGGAUGAGUGGAGCUUGCUCCAUGAUUUAGCGGCGGACGGGUGAGUAAUGCCUAGGAAUCUGCCUAUUAGUGGGGGACAACGUUUCGAAAGGAACGCUAAUACCGCAUACGGCCUACGGGAGAAAGCAGGGGACCUUCGGGCCUUGCUCUAAUAGAUGAGCCUAGGUCGGAUUAGCUAGUUGGUGAGGUAAUGGCUCAACAAGGCGACGAUCCGUAACUGGUCUGAGAGGAUGAUCAGUCACACUGGAACUGAGACACGGUCCAGACUCCUACGGGAGGCAGCAGUGGGGAAUAUUGGACAAUGGGCGAAAGCCUGAUCCAGCCAUGCCGCGUGUGUGAAGAAGGUCUUCGGAUUGUAAAGCACUUUAAGUUGGGAGGAAGGGUUGUACGUUAAUACCGUGCAAUUUUGACGUUACCGACAGAAUAAGCACCGGCUAACUCUGUGCCAGCCGCCGCGGUAACAC
rnacentral:rRNA from 1 species